rnacentral:sRNA from 1 species
UGAGGGCCCGGUCAUCGCGGCAGCUGCGGUAGUUGUAGACCGUUCGGCUCUGCAUCAUCAGCCGGCAUCCCCUGCGAACCCCGAUGCGGUACGCCGCCAGCAGGUAUUCGACCGCCUCGCGUUUCUGCACCGGCCUC